rnacentral:rRNA from 1 species
UACGGAGGGAGCAAGCGUUGUCCGGAUUUACUGGGCGUAAAGCGCGUGUAGGUGGGGGAGCGUGUCCGGUGGGAAAGCCCGCGGCUCAACCGCGGAAGUUCGCUGGAAACUGCUCUUCUUGAGGGUGAUAGAGGGAAGUGGAAUUGCUGGUGUAGCGGUGAAAUGCGUAGAUAUCAGGAGGAACACCUGUGGUGUAGACAGCUUACUGGACCAUAACUGACGCUGAGGCGCGAAAGCCAGGGGAGCAAACGGG